UUGAGCCGUAUGAGAUGAAAUUCUCAUAUACGGUUCUCAGAGGGGGAGUUCCUCAAAAAAGUAUAAGAUUGGUUUGAGGAACGUCUUGAGAUUCAGGCGAUUGCACUUAACGGGACACAUUUGCAUGUUCACUUCAUUGUUCUCUUUUGACAUAUGUGUAGAAGUUCCAUAUUUUGUUUACUUAGCUGUAUAGUUCCUAUUCACU
rnacentral:ncRNA from 1 species